rnacentral:rRNA from 1 species
AACGAACGCUGGCGGCAGGCUUAACACAUGCAAGUCGAACGCCCCGCAAGGGGAGUGGCAGACGGGUGAGUAACGCGUGGGAACAUACCCUUUCCUGCGGAAUAGCUCUGGGAAACUGGAAUUAAUACCGCAUACGCCCUACGGGGGAAAGAUUUAUCGGGGAAGGAUUGGCCCGCGUUGGAUUAGCUAGUUGGUGGGGUAAAGGCCUACCAAGGCGACGAUCCAUAGCUGGUCUGAGAGGAUGAUCAGCCACCUUGGACUGAGACACGGCCCAAACUCCUACGGGAGGCAGCAGUGGGGAAUAUUGGACAAUGGGCGCAAGCCUGAUCCAGCCAUGCCGCGUGAGUGAUGAAGGCCUUAGGGUUGUAAAGCUCUUUCACCGAUGAAGAUAAUGACGGUAGUCGGAGAAGAAGCCCCGGCUAACUUCGUGCCAGCCGCCGCGGUAAGAC